GGGUGCCCACCGGCGGCCUAACACAUGCAAGUCGAGCGGUAACAGGGGUAGCUUGCUACCCGCUGACGAGCGGCGGACGGGUGAGUAAUGCAUAGGAAUCUGCCCGAUAGUGGGGGAUAACCUGGGGAAACCCAGGCUAAUACCGCAUACGUCCUACGGGAGAAAGGGGGCUCCGGCUCCCGCUAUUGGAUGAGCCUAUGUCGGAUUAGCUAGUUGGUAAGGUAAUGGCUUACCAAGGCAACGAUCCGUAGCUGGUCUGAGAGGAUGAUCAGCCACAUCGGGACUGAGACACGGCCCGAACUCCUACGGGAGGCAGCAGUGGGGAAUAUUGGACAAUGGGGGCAACCCUGAUCCAGCCAUGCCGCGUGUGUGAAGAAGGCCCUCGGGUUGUAAAGCACUUUCAGCGAGGAAGAACGCCUAUCGGUUAAUACCCGGUAGGAAAGACAUCACUCGCAGAAGAAGCACCGGCUAACUCCGUGCCAGCAGCCGCGGUAAUACGGAGGGUGCAAGCGUUAAUCGGAAUUACUGGGCGUAAAGCGCGCGUAGGUGGCUUGAUAAGCCGGUUGUGAAAGCCCCGGGCUCAACCUGGGAACGGCAUCCGGAACUGUCAGGCUAGAGUGCAGGAGAGGAAGGUAGAAUUCCCGGUGUAGCGGUGAAAUGCGUAGAGAUCGGGAGGAAUACCAGUGGCGAAGGCGGCCUUCUGGACUGACACUGACACUGAGGUGCGAAAGCGUGGGUAGCAAACAGGAUUAGAUAUCCGGGUAGUC
rnacentral:rRNA from 1 species